UACGAAGGGGGGCUAGCGUUGCUCGGAAUGACUGGGCGUAAAGGGCGCGUAGGCGGUUUGUACAGUCAGGUGUGAAAAUUCCCCGGGCUCAACCUGGGGGGCUGCACUUGAUACGUAGGAACUGGAGUGGGGGAAGAGGGGUCGUGGAAUUCCCAGUGUAGAGGUGAAAAUUCGUAGAUAUUGGGAAGAACACCGGUGGCGAAGGCGGCGACCUGGUCCUUGACUGACGCUGAGGCGCGAAAGCCAGGGGAGCAAACGGG
rnacentral:rRNA from 1 species